UGGUGGGGUAAAGGCUUACCAAGGCAAUGAUGCGUAGCCGAACUGAGAGGUUGAUCGGCCACAUUGGGACUGAGACACGGCCCAAACUCCUACGGGAGGCAGCAGUAGGGAAUCUUCCACAAUGGGCGAAAGCCUGAUGGAGCAACGCCGCGUGGGUGAAGAAGGUCUUCGGAUCGUAAAACCCUGUUGUUAGAGAAGAAAGUGCGUGAGAGUAACUGUUCACGUUUCGACGGUAUCUAACCAGAAAGCCACGGCUAACUACGUGCCAGCAGCCGCGGUAAUACGUAGGUGGCAAGCGUUAUCCGGAUUUAUUGGGCGUAAAGGGAACGCAGGCGGUCUUUUAAGUCUGAUGUGAAAGCCUUCGGCUUAACCGGAGUAGUGCAUUGGAAACUGGGAGACUUGAGUGCAGAAGAGGAGAGUGGAACUCCAUGUGUAGCGGUGAAAUGCGUAGAUAUAUGGAAGAACACCAGUGGCGAAAGCGGCUCUCUGGUCUGUAACUGACGCUGAGGUUCGAAAGCGUGGGUAGCAAACAGGAUUAGAUACCCUGGUAGUCCACGCCGUAAACGAUGAAUGCUAAGUGUUGGAGGGUUUCCGCCCUUCAGUGCU
rnacentral:rRNA from 1 species